GAUGAAGAACGUAGCGAAAUGCGAUAAGUAAUGUGAAUUGCAGAAUUCAGUGAAUCAUCGAAUCUUUGAACGCACCUUGCGCCCUUUGGCCAUUCCGAAGGGCAUGCCUGUUUGAGUAUCAUGAACACCUCAACUCUUCAUGGUUUUCCAUGAUGAGCUUGGACUCUGGGGGUUUUGCUGGCUCACAGUCGGCUCCUCUAAAAUGAAUCAGCUUACCAGUGUUUGGUGGGUAUCAUGGGUGUGAUAACUAUCUACGCUUGUGGUUUUUCCACCAGGUAACCUUCAGCAGUGGAGGUUCGCUGGAGCUCAUAGAUGUCUCUCCUCAGUGAGGACAGCCCUUUGAAUGUUUGAUCUCAAAUCAGGUAGGACUACCCGCUGAACUUAAGCAUAUCAAUAAGCGGAGGA
rnacentral:misc_RNA from 1 species